CGAACGAACGCUGGCGGCAGGCCUAACACAUGCAAGUCGAACGCCCCGCAAGGGGAGUGGCAGACGGGUGAGUAACACGUGGGAACCUUCCCAACAGUACGGAAUAGCCCAGGGAAACUUGGAGUAAUACCGUAUAUUCCCGAGAGGGGAAAGAUUUAUCGCUGUUGGAUGGGCCCGCGUCGGAUUAGCUAGUUGGUGAGGUAACGGCUCACCAAGGCGACGAUCCGUAGCUGGUUUGAGAGAAUGACCAGCCACACUGGGACUGAGACACGGCCCAGACUCCUACGGGAGGCAGCAGUGGGGAAUCUUGGACAAUGGGCGCAAGCCUGAUCCAGCCAUGCCGCGUGAGUGACGAAGGCCUUAGGGUUGUAAAGCUCUUUUACCGGGGACGAUAAUGACGGUACCCGGAGAAUAAGUCCCGGCUAACUUCGUG
rnacentral:rRNA from 1 species